UCUACAAAGUAGCCUUUUUUAGGUCAAUUCGAGGUAUUGAAAGUUGAGAUCUAUAUGUCGAAUUGAUUUACGCUUCACUUAGAGGUUCUUCUCUAGUUUUUAUCUAUACUCUAAGCGAAGGAACACCAUAAUCAUGAUGUUCUUCAUGGACGACAUCGUGGAUUCGGCGUGAUCGAAGGCAGUUCGAGGAUUCGGAUCGUGGGCUCGUGGAUUCGAGUGGCGUUCGUGGAUUCGGACGUGUGCGAGGCGUUCAUGGAUUCGAACGUGAGGGCGUGGACAACCUGGAGGAUUGCGCGAGAUUCAUAGAAGGUUAAGAGAGGUCGAGUCCGUGGAGUCGAUAAUCACCUUGUAAUCUUUUCUAUUAGUGAAUUAUUUUUUCGCGUGUUGGUCCCGUGGAUUUUUUACUCCAAGUUAGAGUUUUUCCACGUAAAUCUCGGUGUGAUUUCUAUUUUUCGCAUUUACUUUUAUCGCAUUUAGAUUUGUGAUUUUUGGCCGUUACACGUAUUCACCCCCCUCUAGGUGUUUGAUACAAUCUAGAUAAAUUCUAGGGCUCCUCAUAACUUACAAUUGGUAUCAGAGCGGGAUCCAGAUAUAUUGCUAUCAUGGCUGAAGGCGGUAACAUUAAUCGACCACCACUUUUCGAUGGCACUAAUAAUGCCUAUUGAAAAGUUCGCAUGAGAGCUUUUCUAAUUGCAAUCGAUGAGCGAGUAUAGCAAUCAAUCGAAUUCGAAUGGAAGCAUCCCACCGAAGUUGUCGAUAAUGCUACGUCCCUAAACCGAGAAAUAAGUGGACAAAAGAUGAAAGCGAGUCAUCUUCGUUUAAUGGCAAGAAAAUUAAUGCUUUGUUUAAUGCAUUAUCUCAAACGGAGUUUACUCGUGUUUCAACGUGUGAAACCACCAAAGAGAUUUGGGAUACUCUUCAAGUUACGCAUGAAGGAACUAGUUUGGGGAAGGUCCCAAAAUUACAAAUGUUAACGAGCAAAUUUGACUAAAUUUUUUUGGAAGAAAAUGAGACAUUUACCGAGUACUAUACGCGACUUCAAGAUGUUGUUUAUACAUGCGCGAACUUGGGAGAGAAAAUUCCUGAAUCGAAAGUUGUUAGAAAAAUUCUUCGAACUCUUCCGGAGCGGUUUAGGGCAAAGGUUGCCGCGAUCGAAACUGUUAAGCAUCCGGAUGAGAUGAAAGUCGAAGAGUUAGUAGAUGCUUUGCAAACUUAUGAGAUGACUUUUCCUACUAACCAAUCUUCUUCCAAGUCUUUCUCUAAAAGUACAGGGGUUGCAUUGAAAUCAACUAAGGAGGAGGACGUGGACUCGAGUUCCGAUGGCGACAUAUCAAUUGCGGACUUCGAACAUCAAUUGGUGCUCCUAACAAAGAAGUUUCGUCGGAAUUUUCGGAAGAACAAAUCCAACAAGACUUCAUCUUCGAAGCAAAAAUCUUUUUCUAAAGAAUCUUCAAGUUCAAAAUCUAAGCAUAAGAAACUUGCAAAACCUUCUAAAGAAAAAGAUAAUUUUGAAGGAGAAAUCCAAUGUUACAAAUGUAAAGGCUAUGGCCAUAUUUCAACGGAUUGUCUUUCUAAGAAAACUUAUAAACCGAAGGCUUUGCAAGUAAAAACUUGGGAUGAUUCUACUUCUAGUGAAUCAACCUCAAGUGACGAAGAAAAGAAUGAAAACGUUGCUUUAUUUACUAACACUUCUUUGCCUUCGUCUAAUGUUGUUUGUUUAUCCUCUGUUUUAUCUGACUCUAGUAUUUCUUCUUCCUUGCAUAGGACUUCGAGCGAUAAUGGCGAAAGCGAAGAGGAGUCAAACAACGAGGAUUUAGCGGAAGCAUACAAUCAACUUCUUAUCAAAUCGAAAAAGAUGGCCAAGCAUAAUAAGAAGUUGAGGAGACGCUUAUUGGACCUUGAAGAGGAAAACAACAAUUUGAGGACUACGAACAAAGCUCUUGAGGAGGAAAGGGAAUCAAUAUUGAAAAAUAAUUCGAUCCUCCAAAAGAAGCUAGAUGAAACGAAAUUAACGAUUAAAUAUUAUCAAGAAAAGAUUGGAUUUUUGGAGCAACAAUUCAAGAAAACCUACAUAUCCAAUCAAGUCUUAACCAAUCAAGUUCGUCAACUCAAAUCCGAUUUUCAAAAAUUUUCUUCGGGAUCGAAGAAAUUGGAUCACAUGCUCGGAUUGGGUCAAACGAACAAGUUAGGCCUCGGAUACGAAAGAACUUAUGUUGAGAAGGAUCAAAAGUCGACAUCAAAAGUCUCAACAAAUUCAAAGAAAAAGGUGUGUCAUGGAUGUGGCAUCAAAGGACACAUCAAAAGGAGUUGCCCGAACAAAAAUAAGAAAAAUCAACCGGCAAUUUCUAAACGUCCGUUGGCACUCACUAAUACUCGACUUCCCCCACGGAAUUAAAAGCAAACUCAAUCUAGUCGAGUACCACAAGCAAACCGAAAUUCAAAGCUUCAACGACAAUUUCAACCGAAGUCACAUGCAACGAAACGACCAACGGUGGAUCAAAAGUCUAAACGAAUCGUGCCUAUCGUCGACAAGCCAAGACAACCAACAAUCCGGCAAGUUUGGAUCCGGAAAGAUGAUAUCUUUCCUUGUUCUUCAUCUUAGUUUGUUUUUAUAUAUGUAAUGCUUUGACUGGUAAUGCUUUGAUUGGUGCUUAUUGCAUAUUUUUAUUCAUUACAUUACAUGUUUAAACAAUUUUUUAUGCAUGAAAUUAUUUUUGAAAAUUUGUUUCGAGGAAGAUGAUGGGGAAUUAAAUUUUUGAGAAAGGCGAUGUCUUUAAAAUCAUUAAUUUGGGGAGAUUAUUUUUUAAAAAAAUGCCGUAAUCAAAUUCAUCUUGAGUUAAAUUUAUAUUAAUUAUCGGUUUUACUCCAUUUUUAUUAUUUUGACGAUAAUUUAUUAUAGGAUUUCUUAGUAUAUAUAUUCAUCAAAAUUUUGGAAUCAAAUUUGAUCUCUUGGUGAUUAAUCUAUCUUGGUUGUGUGUGUUGAAUAUGAUGAAUGGAUAUUCGCUAAUAGAUUAAAAUUUGUCAAAAUUACUUUCAAUUGUGAGAUUGUCUAAUUUAGGGGGAGUUUGAAUUAUUUUAAAAAAAAUAAAUGAUGAUUAAAAUAAAAAAAAAAAAAGAUACUUCUAUGAGUAAAAAGAUGUUGAAAGAGUUACAUCCAAAAGGAGUGUGAAAACUACCACCACAUGUAGGAAAGAGCUACCACACCGGUCGUCCUGUAAGUGUGUGAAGCUACCACCUGAAAAUUAAUUGAUUAACCGAAAAGGUUGAAAAAAAAAUUGAAUAUUUUAGAUUUUUCGAAGUUAUAAGGUGGUAGGAUGAAAAGAUACUCAAAGAGCCACCUCCGGUAUUUUAUUAGUUAAAUCUCUAUUUUGAUCGUUUUACGACAAAUUGGUGUCAAUUUUGCCGAAUUUUUAUAAGUCAAUUUUCAUGAACCGUUACAUCUUGAUGAUUUUGAAUCAUUAGAUUAUUUUUUAUAACAUAAUUUUGAUGUUUAGAUGAAUUAAGAAAUCUUAUAAUAUUUUAUAUUCAUUCUAAUGAUUUUGGGAGUACAAUCCUUAAUUAUUAUAAAAUUAAUUUAAUUUUGAAUCAUAUUUUAGGCAAAAUUUUUGAAUUCUGGCAACUGGUACCGGUACUAAAUCCCGCGUACCGGUACCAGCACUGUAGACAGUGGUUUUAUAAACCGGUUACGGGUUUUAUUCUUCCCCAAAUCAAAACGAAAUUGCUCGCUUUCUCUUUCUAAAGUUCCCCACACUCUCCUACUCCAGAUCCACGUGAUUCCUUCAAAGAUUUGUAAGUAUUUUCUUCAGAUUUAAUCAUUUACUCGCGUUCUUGCUGUUUUUCGAAUGAACUCCGAGACGAAGAUCGUUAUCUGUUUUGAACCAUUUUUCUUGCAAUUUUUUGCUGUGAUUCAGUUUAUAUGCAUGUAUUCUCGCUUCUAGAACAUUUAGAUCAUGAUUUAAUGUGUUAUUUUUUGCUGAUCUAUGAUCUGUAACUUGAUAUCUAUGGAAUUUCGGGAUUACAUGUUGAAUGCCACUUUUAAUGAUAAAUCUUGCUUGAAUUAGUUAAAAAUAGUGUUAUUAUUCAUUCUAAUAUUAUUAGAAUUUUUUUCGCUAUUUUUACAGAUUUUUAUUGCAAAUUUGUUCAUUCAAGGGUUCUUUUUGUAUAGGAAAAAUGGCAUUUUCGCUGAUUAUUGUUCUGAUGGUGCUUAUGGCCACUAGGAGUGGUCGUGGUCGCGGUCACGGUAGAGGCCGUCGUGGGGCUUCUAAGAGGACUCGUAUUGCAAACGAGUCGUCUGAUUCAGAUUCGGAUUAUCGAGCGAGCUCCCACGAGGAGGCGGAAGAAACGACUGUUCGCACUGAUAAAGGCAAAGGGAUGGCACCGGAAACAUCACGCAAGAAAAAGGGUGCUCGUUCUCCUCCUAGGCGAAGCACAGGUGGCCCUGUAAUACGAGAAGGUGGAGCUCGUGAGCAUGAAAGUCGCUCAAAGCAUGCCGCAGAGGUUCAGACGGAGCGGCGGAAGGCAUUCACGAGCAAAUCGUGCUUAGCGGAGCGUUAUGUGAAGCCUGAGUAGCACCUUUUGUCCUUGAUUAUUUGUUACAACGUUCAACCGACUAUUGGGACUAAAAGGAUUCGCUGGGAUCGGCUUGUACUUCUAUAUCUACUUAGCCACCCCAAGCAUGCAGAUGGUUUAAAUAUCAACAUUCCAUUUCUUAUGUGGCAAAGAAUGGUGCACGUGAUCCAAUCUUCGGGACAGCGUGUGCUACUUCCAUUUCCUACAUUGAUCACACGGAUUUUGCAAGAAAAUAGGGUAGACGUCACUUGUGACAAGUAUGACUAUGGCCUUGGACCGAUUGACGGAGUGACAUAGGCCAAGUCAGUGAGCACAUUGAAGACUUUUCAGCAGACAAAGGGACAGUCACGAGCAGCUUCUAGUUCAGCACCUCCACAUCGUGCAAAGCACAAGGGAUCCUCAAGCUCAGGGGGAGUGAUUACUGUCGAGUCACUUCACCGUGAGAAGCAUGCUAUAAAGAAAGGCUUCAAGCGAUUGGAAGAGGGGAUGAAGAGGAUAAUGGAGACACUUGGAUGUCGACGUGAUGAUGUUUUUCCUACUUAUACUAGGUCGACGUCUUCACAUCCACUUAUUCCACCGGCUACUAGUGCACCUGAUGCUGGUGGAGAUGGAGAUGGAGAUGGAGAUGAUGAUGAUGCUGAGGAGGACACCGAGUGAUAUUAUUUUCGAGCUUUAGUAUCUUUGUUUUAUCUUUUCUCCUAGGACGAUGUUCCGUUUAGUUUUGCUUUACUUGUCUUUGUUUUUGCUUUAGGUAUGUACCUAUGCCAUGACUACUUUUCUGGUUUCCAGUAUGUUUUCUCUCUAUAUGCUCUGUUUUGGCAAUUUUUUGACAAAAAGGGAGAGAACAUAGGUGGACAGGUAUUGAGCAAAGGGGAUGAAGAAUUGAAGAUCAAAGGAGAAGAAGAGAAGAACUUGAAGGUGUAAGAAUGACUAAUGUUUUUAAAUUUCUACAUCAUCUUUGGAUAAUUUGUUUUGCAGGAAAUCAAGACUUCAAGACUCCUAAUUUUGUCUAAGUCAUAGAGUUUGUUUUAGGGGUUUUAAGUUUUGAUGUUGUAAUUUUGAACUUCAUAUUGUAUUUGGAUUAUACGCGAAGGGUUCAAUGUUUUGGUAAUGAUGUUGAAUUUUGUUGUUCAUUUAUGAUGUAAUUUUUGAGUUUUUGAGUUUUGUCACGAAAUUGCCAAAGGGGGAGAUUGUUAAGUAUUAUGUGUUGGCAAGUUUCGUGAAUUGAGUCGGAGUCUUGAAAGAUCGAUGCAUAUUGUUGAAGAUCGAGGAAUCCAAGACUUCGAAGAAAUCAGAAAUAACUCACGAUAUGAAUCACGAUACUAAGGUAAGCUUUCAAUUCAUAAUAUGGUAAUUCAUACUUAGUUAUAGACAUUAGAAUCAUGAAAAUCAAAGUUUAGUGGAUUAGAAAAUGUUUUGGAACUUUUGAAACUCGAAAAUGUAGUUAUGCUGAAAACUGCAUAGGGUAUCGGUACUGCACUGACUUGGUACCGGUACUGAUCUGGUUCCGGUACAGCAUUGGCUUGUUAACCGGUUCUCAGUGCUUAAAAGUUUUCUGUGUCAUCUUUUGGUACCGGUACCAACUUGAUGCAGUACCGGUACGUAGUGUAAAAAUUUGAAAACUUUCUAUUCCGACUCUAAUUGAUCUAAGGUCUAUAAAUAAGCUAUAAGGGUUCUCUAACUCAUAGAACAUCAUGAGAAUACAUAUUUGAGAAACCCUAGAGUCUUGGAUUUCGUCCUAAACUUGUUUUCUACAAAGUAGCCUCUUUUAGGUCAAUUCGAGGUACUGAAAGUUGAGAUCUAUACGUCGAGUUGAUCUACGCUUCGCUUAGAGGUUCUUCUCUGGUUUUCAUUUGUACUCUAAGCGAAGGAUCACCAUAAUCAUGAUGUUCUUCAUGGACGACGUUGUGGAUUCGGCGUGAUCGAAGGCGGUUCGAGGAUACGGAUCGUGGGCUCGUGGAUUCAAGUGGCGUUCGUGGAUUCGGACGUGUGCGAGGCAUUCGUGGAUUCGAACGUGACGGCGUGGACAACCCGGAGGAUUGCGCGAGAUUCAUAGGAGGUUAAGAGAGGUCGAGUCUGUGGAGUCGGUAAUCACCUUGUAAUUUUUUCUCUUAGUGAAUUAUUUUUUCGCGUGUUGGUCUCGUG
rnacentral:lncRNA from 1 species